rnacentral:rRNA from 1 species
GAUGAACGCUGGCGGCGUGCCUAAUACAUGCCAGUCGAGCGAACAGAUGAGGAGCUUGCUCCUCUGACGUUAGCGGCGGACGGGUGAGUAACACGUGGAUAACCUACCUAUAAGACUGGGAUAACUUCGGGAAACCGGAGCUAAUACCGGAUAAUAUAUUGAACCGCAUGGUUCAAUAGUGAAAGACGGUUUUGCUGUCACUUAUAGAUGGAUCCGCGCCGCAUUAGCUAGUUGGUAAGGUAACGGCUUACCAAGGCAACGAUGCGUAGCCGACCUGAGAGGGUGAUCGGCCACACUGGAACUGAGACACGGUCCAGACUCCUACGGGAGGCAGCAGUAGGGAAUCUUCCGCAAUGGGCGAAAGCCUGACGGAGCAACGCCGCGUGAGUGAUGAAGGUCUUCGGAUCGUAAAACUCUGUUAUUAGGGAGGAACAAAUGUGUAAGUAACUAUGCACGUCUUGACGGUACCUAAUCGGAAAGCCACGGCUAACUACGUG